rnacentral:rRNA from 1 species
AACGAACGCUGGCGGCAGGCUUAACACAUGCAAGUCGAACGCCCCGCAAGGGGAGUGGCAGACGGGUGCGUAACGCGUGGGAACAUACCCUUUUCUACGGAAUAGCUCUGGGAAACUGGAAUUAAUACCGUAUACGCCCUACGGGGGAAAGAUUUAUCGGGGAAGGAUUGGCCCGCGUUGGAUUAGCUAGUUGGUGGGGUAAAGGCCUACCAAGGCGACGAUCCAUAGCUGGUCUGAGAGGAUGAUCAGCCACAUUGGGACUGAGACACGGCCCAAACUCCUACGGGAGGCAGCAGUGGGGAAUAUUGGACAAUGGGCGCAAGCCUGAUCCAGCCAUGCCGCGUGAGUGAUGAAGGCCUUAGGGUUGUAAAGCUCUUUCACCGAUGAAGAUAAUGACGGUAGUCGGAGAAGAAGCCCCGGCUAACUUCGUG